UGGGGAAUUUUGGACAAUGGGGGAAACCCUGAUCCCAGCCAUCCCGCGUGUGCGAUGAAGGCCUUCGGGUUGUAAAGCACUUUUGGCAGGAAAGAAANGUCGCGGGUUAAUACCCCGCGAACUGACGGUACCUGCAGAAUAAGCACCGGCUAACUACGUGCCAGCAGCCGCGGUAAUACGUAGGGUGCAAGCGUUAAUCGGAAUUACUGGGCGUAAAGCGUGCGCAGGCGGUUCGGAAAGAAAGAUGUGAAAUCCCAGAGCUUAACUUUGGAACUGCAUUUUUAACUACCGGGCUAGAGUGUGUCAGAGGGAGGUGGAAUUCCGCGUGUAGCAGUGAAAUGCGUAGAUAUGCGGAGGAACACCGAUGGCGAAGGNAGCCUCCUGGGAUAACACUGACGCUCAUGCACGAAAAGCGUGGGGAGC
rnacentral:rRNA from 1 species